CAGAGUUACAAAACUCCCAAACCCUUGUGAACCUACCUGUACGUCGUUGCUAUCGGCGGGUAGCCCCACACCGGGGCCGUGCCUCCUAGCGAGGUGCCCGCCGGAGGACCACUUUAAAAACUCUUGCAAUUUGUGGCCAUCUCUGAGUAUUAUAUAAAUAAGUCA
rnacentral:misc_RNA from 1 species